GGUUAAGCGACUAAGCGUACACGGUGGAUGCCCUGGCAGUCAGAGGCGAUGAAGGACGUGCUAAUCUGCGAUAAGCGUCGGUAAGGUGAUAUGAACCGUUAUAACCGGCGAUUUCCGAAUGGGGAAACCCAGUGUGUUUCGACACACUAUCAUUAACUGAAUCCAUAGGUUAAUGAGGCGAACCGGGGGAACUGAAACAUCUAAGUACCCCGAGGAAAAGAAAUCAACCGAGAUUCCCCCAGUAGCGGCGAGCGAACGGGGAGGAGCCCAGAGCCUGAAUCAGUGUGUGUGUUAGUGGAAGCGUCUGGAAAGGCGCGCGAUACAGGGUGACAGCCCCGUACACAAAAAUGCACAUGCUGUGAGCUCGAUGAGUAGGGCGGGACACGUGGUAUCCUGUCUGAAUAUGGGGGGACCAUCCUCCAAGGCUAAAUACUCCUGACUGACCGAUAGUGAACCAGUACCGUGAGGGAAAGGCGAAAAGAACCCCGGCGAGGGGAGUGAAAAAGAACCUGAAACCGUGUACGUACAAGCAGUGGGAGCACGCUUAGGCGUGUGACUGCGUACCUUUUGUAUAAUGGGUCAGCGACUUAUAUUCUGUAGCAAGGUUAACCGAAUAGGGGAGCCGA
rnacentral:rRNA from 1 species